rnacentral:sRNA from 1 species
AACAAAAGAAAGCAAACCUAGCAAGGAGGCAUACAUCAAAAUCCAAAGACUUAAAAAUUCUGUGAAAGCAAUGUAAGUGAAACCCAUAGUUUUCAUUCUUAUAGUACUAACUACAUCAAGACUACAUUGCCAGUUUUCACAGUAUACUUAACGACUUAAAUAAAACUGGAAACUAAACUACUUGGCUGAGGCUAAACACAAUAUAUAUUUCCUUCUAUUUCAAAAACCCCAACAAACCCAAUUAUGUUCUGAAGAGAAGUAUUGCAAAUGAGAAUGUUUACACAUCACCAGUAGGAACAGCUUUGAAUGGCUUAAGCAUGCCUUCAUGAUCAGCAUAUAAGAACACCUACCUCUCUUUCAAGUAGCAUAGGGAAAUUGCUAUAAAUACUAGACUCAUUUAACAAAUCUCAGUACUGUUAAUAAGUUAAACUUGAGUCCUUGAAAAUCAAACUGACGUUCUUUUAAAACACAUAUUGAGUGGGGCAUCAAGUCUUCAGGUGAGAACCCCCAAAAGCCUUGAUGCCAAAGUGAACCCUCGUUCUGCUCAACUGGUCCUUCCCUCUCCCCAUCCCAGCCAAAAGAACCAGUUCUAGAUGAAGACAAGUGGAUUCAGGGGUACUCCAAGUCACAUGCACCAUCAGUACAGUCCUCUGCAACGUGGGACUGACUCCGCCUACCAUAGGCAGAAAUGGGUUUAUCACUGUGGAUAUAGAUAGACAUGAACAAAGACCUUUCAAACCCGGGCGUCAUCGCGGACUGAAAUAAGUAUUUCCUGCCCAGCACUCUUAACUAAGCCACAGGACCCCAAAGGUGAAGGUUGGCAAGAGUCGUAGAGCCCGGAUGUAGAGCCCACACCCCCUCCCUAACCCCCAACCACGUGGCAACCACGUGCUCCUAAGGGUUGCGGCCCCUCCGCCUUAGGGCGCCUGCUCGGACCAGUCCCCGUUACUGGCCGAACCCCUCGGACGCCACCGGGCACCGGAGACGCGACCCCUGGACAACCCAACGAGCUGCACAUGUACCCUCCCAACAGUGUGAGGGCACCAGCACUGUGGGUCAGUAAACCUCUCUGUUCAUCAUUUCUCUUGAGCCUCGUCCCUGGACAUCCUGUUCUCCUGGUCAACAUCUAUCUUCCAUAUCUUACUGAAGCUCUCCACGCAGAGUGAAGAGGUUUCACUGCGGAUUCUGGUGGAGGAAGAGGACCCUAGGAGGCAGAUCUAGCCCAGAGGCCCUGCAUCAUCAAGCUGCCUGCUGUUACAAGGCCCUUUGGGGCCUGGCUCACCAACUGCUGUAAGCUGGAGUCAGCUCCCAGGCUUCUGCCUGAACUUACCUGGCUUCUGUCACCCUCUAAAGUCCCCCAGCACUUUCUGCACUGUGACCACAGAAGCUGAGGAGCUUAACAAGGAUCUCAAUGCGUUUCUUCAUUACUGGAAAAGCUAUUGGUGUUGACAUGUAGGAACAUCCAUUUUAAUUAUGGCAAAGGGCCUCCUUAUUAAUUAUUUAGAUUCAAGAGAAUAUAAUACAUUGAAAACAAGAGAGGAAAUUUGGCUCUCUUCUGCCUGAAGAAUUUUGACACCGGGCCAUCAUGGUAUAUGCUCACAGAUAAGCACAGUACAUACACUUGAAAGGCACAAACACUGAAGUCCACGUGGCCCGUUUACUCUGUUCCUCUAGCAUCUAAGAGUACUGUCAUUUAAAGAGGGACGAGGCAGCUGAGGUGAAAAUGUUGGUUGUGUGUGUCAGAACAAGCUGCAGAAAAAAAAAAUCUUGCUGUUAGACGUGUGGAAGCACAGUUAGUUCAAGUAAGUGGUCCCCUUCCCAGACUCCGACCAUUCUGAAGACCUAAGCAAGGCAAGAUAAAGACAGGAAAUCCUGCCAGUCAUUCAGGGCAGAAAACACCUUCUGCAAGGUGGCAAAGCACUUUCUUGGGCACUCAGCCAGGUGCUUAACUGAGUCUUCCUUAGUGCUUUACUCAGUGGCACAGCCAUUCAGUCACGAACACUUCAUGAGUCUCUACUUUGGGUUCUGAAAAUUGCAAGCAAAUGUAGUUCAUUUAAAAACUCCAGGGCCCA